rnacentral:rRNA from 1 species
UCUUAAUCUCAGAUCAGGCAGGAUGACCCGCUGAACUUAAGCAUAUCAGUAAGCGGAGGAAAAGAAACUAACCAGGAUUCCCUUAGUAACGGCGAGUGAAGCGGGAAUAGCCCAAUCUGAAAAGCUAGUCAGCCCUGGAGCUGGUCUCGCAUUGUAGGUUGAUGAAUCGUUUCCUAGUGUUAAACCUUUCAAUUAAAGUUCCUUGGAACAGGACAUCAAAGAGGGUGAUAAUCCCGUGAUUAAUUGAAUGACAUACCAGUUUAAUGCGUCUAUGGAGCGUUUUCUUAGAGUCGGAAUGUUUGGGAUUGCAUUCCAAAGUGGGUGGUAAACUCCAUCUAAGGCUAAAUACUGGCGAGAGACCGAUAGCGAACAAGUACCGUGAGGGAAAGUUGAAAAGCACUCUGGAGAGAGAGUCAAACAGUACGUGAAAUUGCUAGCAGGGAAACGUUGGAUACCAGUACACGGCAAUUAAUGUCAAUGAUCAGUUAAUGUAUUGUUUAUUUGUGAUGUGGUGUUUACUUUGGAGAUCGUCUCACGGCGACUCACAUAUCAUAAAUGAAUAAUGUAUUGGUGCACUCAUUGGCAGCCGGGUCAACAUCAGUUAAUGACGUUCGAUAAGUUAUUAGACAAGGUAUCAUUAGUAAGUUUACUUACUUUUGAACUUAUAGGUCUGAUGUACGAGGAUGUUAUUGACUGAGGAUAGUCGAUUCGUGCGUUUCGGCGCAGGGCGUACUGGCUAGAUCAAGGCAGCCCGUGGCGUUAAGCAGCAUGCUGAUUAACGUUCAUUUUAUCAUAUUUAUAUGNUAGUGGCGGUCGUUUAGCUAGUACAAGCCACUAGCGAGUCAAUGAUGGUUGACGAAAUGGUAUUCAACGACCCGUCUUGAAACACGGACCAAGGAGUCUAACAUGUCUGCGAGUGUUUGGAUGGAAAAUCCUUACGCGGAAUGAAAGUAAAGAGGCAAGCUUCGCACUUGUCCAUUGGUAGGAAUCGAAGUGUUUCGGCACGACGAGGCACUACCGACCGACCUGUUGCCCUCUGUGGUGGUAGGUUUGAGUUGGAGCAGUCCUGUUAGGACCCGAAAGAUGGUGAACUAUGCCUGAGCAGGAUGAAGUCAGAGGAAACUCUGAUGGAGGUCCGUAGCGGUUCUGACGUGCAAAUCGAUCGUCGGACUUGGGUAUAGGGGCGAAAGACUAAUCGA